rnacentral:rRNA from 1 species
UACGUACUGUGCGAACGUUAUUCGGAAUCACUGGGCUUAAAGGGUGUGUAGGCGGCCCGGCAAGUAGGGUGUGAAAGGCUCCGGCUCAACCGGGGCACUGCGCUCUAAACUGCUGGGCUCGAGCAAGACAGGGGUGUGCGGAACUUCCAGUGGAGCGGUGAAAUGUGUUGAUAUUGGAAGGAACACCGGUGGCGAAAGCGGCACACUGGGUCUUGUCUGACGCUGAGACACGAAAGCCAGGGGAGCGAAC